rnacentral:lncRNA from 1 species
GCCGUGGGCGUCGUGGGUGGACGCGCCCCCCCCCCCCCCCCCCCCCCCGGCCGGCGCGAGGCUCCCGGUGCUCCGCGUCCGUCCCGGGGCCGGGUGAGAGGCCUCGCGUCGUGCUGCCGCCGGAGGACGCGGGCUCCCGCCGGUCGGGGCGCGGUUGUCAGCCCGCGAGCCGCUGGGCUCGAGCCCGGACGAGCUUCCUGCGCGUCCCGGGCCCUGGGCGGCUCCGUGGCCGGCGCUCACGGCCGCACGGGCAGCUGGACCCGCUCCUCAGGCACACAGUGAGAGAGAGAGAGGCAGAGACACAGGCAGAGGGAGAAGCAGGCUCCAUGCACCGGGAGCCCGACGUGGGAUUCGAUCCCGGGUCUCCAGGAUCGCGCCCUGGGCUAAAGGCAGGCGCCAAACCGCUGCGCCACCCAGGGAUCCCUGACCUGUUUGUCUUUAUUUUACUUGACCAUCCACCAGAAAACAUGGAUAGAUGAUACAAAGUUUUAAUUGUGUUAAAGAUUAUGUUUUCUUGUAUGUUAUAUUGAGAAUAAUUUUUCUGUGAGGACAAUGUCAUAAGCUGAGUUGCAAAAAGUAGUUCAAAGUCUUAACAUAUACUUUUAAGAUCCUUCACUCUAGAACUAUGUCUGAGGAAAGUUUUACAUAAAAUUAAGGUCAAACAUUUUCAGAUUGCCUGACAAUAUAUAAUCCCUCUGUAAAUAAGCACUUAAAUAACUGAUUUACUAUAAACUGUUUUCUUUAGCAUCUCUUUUAUGUUCAACAUUGUGGUGUAGGUAUAGGGAUACAGACAGUUAGCAUGUAUGUCUCCCUAUCAAUGGGCUAGAUCCCAUUUACAAGAUCAAUGAAAAGAGACAUUCAAAUGGAAAAUAUUUUUAGCACUAUGUUUAGCCCUACUCUGGAGGAUGUUGAUAAUGCUUUUCCAACCACCUGCCUUGACUAUGCUCAGUCCACUUCUGGUCCCACCUACCACCAGUAUCCUAUGGUCCUGGGAUCGAGCCCGUAUCAAGUUACCUGCUCAGUGGAGAGCCUGCUUCUCCCUCUCCCUCUGCUGCUUCCCCUGAUUGUGCUCUCUUGCUCACUCUCUCUAUCAAAUAAAUAAAUAAAAUCUUAAAAAACAAAAUAAUCACAAUGAUUGAGAUAUUUUCAACCCCAACACUGAAAUAAGAGAACAAUGGAAGUAAAUGUCUUCAAAAUUUUGAGAGGAAAUUAUCUGCAAUCUAGAAUUCUAUAUGCAGUAAAAGUGACAAAAUGUAAAGGCAGACACUUAACCAACUGAGUCACGUAGGCACCCUGUGAUUCUUUCUUUCUUUUUUUUUUUUUAAAGAUUGUAUUUAUUCAUGAGAGAGAGAGAGAGAGAGGCGGAGACACAGGCAGAGGGAGAAGCAGGCUCCAUGCAGGGAGCCUGAUGUGGGACUCAAUCCCGGGACUCUAAGAUCUCGCCCUGGGCCAAAGGCCGGCGUUUAACUUCUGAGCCACCCAGGGAUCCCCGCCCCGUGAUUCUUGAAACUUUAUGUGAAAUUCUUUUCUCCUUCCUUUCUGGACCCUUAUUGGAUUGUUGUUUUUUUCUUCCCCCAACCGUGCUCUAAAAUUUCACUGUGAUGACAUUUGUUGUGUGGCUUAAUUUCCUUUGUAUUCACUGGGCUCUUUCAAUCUGGAAACUCAUGUCCGUUAACUUUGGAAAAUUUUCUUGAAUUCUUUCUUUGAUAACUUUCUUCCCUCCACCUCCCUUUGUUCUCAAUGAAUACCUAACAUUCAAAUGUCUGAUUUCUUGUGUUCUUCUCAUUUCAUUAUUUUUCUUUUGUAUUUCCAUUAUUUAACUUUUUGUCCUGUUUUUGAAAUAUGUCCUCAGUUUUUCUUCCAGCCUUUAUUAAGCUUUCCUAUGGGUAUGGCAAUGAAUAAUUAUUUAGACUAAGAAAAUAAAAUUU